UUUGGCUGGGGCGGCACAUCUGUUAAAUGAUAACGCAGGUGUCCAAAGAUGAGCUCAAUGAGAACAGAAAUCUCAUGUAGAACAAAAGGGUAAAAGCUCAUUUGAUUUUGAUUUUCAGUAGUAAUUCAAACCGUGAAAGCGUGGCCUAUCGAUCCUUUAGAUUUUUUAUUAGAGAUUUUAAGCUAGAGGUGUCAGAAAAGUUACCACAGGGAUAACUGGCUUGUGGCUGCCAAGCGUUCAUAGCGACGUAGCUUUUUGAUCCUUCGAUGUCGGCUCUUCCUAUCAUUGCGAAGCAGAAUUCGCCAAGUGUCGGAUUGUUCACCCGGAAAAAGGGAACGUGAGCUGGGUUUAGACCGUCGUGAGACAGGUUAGUUUUAUCCUACUGUCUAAUAUAAUUGAGCGUUGCGGGUAGUUCUGUAAAGUACGAGAGGAACAACAGGGCGGAAUUACUGGUGAAGCAAUCGGUUGAUAAGCCGGCGUUGCAAAGCUACAUUCCCAAAAGAUAACGGCUGAACGCCUCUAAGCCGGAAUCAA
rnacentral:rRNA from 1 species